rnacentral:lncRNA from 1 species
UCGCGCAAGCCCUCAGUUACCAGGUAUGCUCCUUUCGCCCUUCUGUCCCUACGUUCGUCUCGACGCGCAUAGGCUAGGCCGAGCCCGACGACGUCUUCGUCCCUUGCCCCUGCGCUCCUCACUGCGCGUAGGGCGGCACGCAGUCAGCGCGCAACCAACGCAGCCAGGUCCGGUGGCUCGGCGCGGAUGCGCGGUUGCUUCGGCGUGGCCCGCGGCGGCCAGCGCGCGCGACAGCCUGCGCGACAGCCCAGCGCGGCGGCCAUGGCGCCCUUCCCUACGUGCUGUGUCACCGCCAUUGCCUGUUCACAGCCCAACCAGCGAGUCGCCGUCGGCUGCCUACCCCCAACCCACCUCGCGCACCUGCCUCGGCACUGCUGCGCAGCGUGCCCUGGGAGUCCGCGCGCCGCUCUGGCGAGCCUCGCCGGCGAGGGCCCACCACGUCCCCUGUGGCCUUCCCCUGCUGGCGCCCGUCCGAGCCCCUGCCAUGCCCACUACGAAGAAGAAGCCCCUGUGCAACCGUCUAUGCGUGCGUGCGUGCAUGGCUGCAUGCGGGGAGAAGAAAGAAGAGAGAGGUAGAAGAAACCGUCGCGGGCCCACGCAUGCAAGUUCCCACUUCCCCUCCGUGCGUUUCCCACACAUGCAGCCUGCAGGUGCGCAUGGGCCCCUCACAUGCAUGCACGCCUAAUCUGCUGGCCGCAUGUGGGAACAACCUCAUACCGGAUCCUCUACGGCUGCACGUCAUGUGGCCUUUCGUGUGACUUCGGUUCAACCAAUAGAAUCGCGCCACGUAGUUUAAAUUUAAGAGAUGCUAUUUAUUCAAUAUAAUUUGCGUCGUAAACCCGUCGUGACUCGUUCCAGUCGCGUUAACUUCGUAACAACAUCAAUUUCGUAUUAGUCACGUUAUUUUGGUAUGUUGCGGGUCUUAAGUAAUUAAUUAUUUGUUCAUUCGAUAGUGGUUAAAGAAUGACUUUUAAAUUAUAACUAAUUUAUAGUUCUAACUUGCGCUUUACAAAUACUCGUUAAUUUGAUUAAUGCCAACAAUAUUUUACAUUAAUACUCGCUUAGUGGAUGCGCGUCAUCUAUUCAGAUUUUUCUUGUAUGUCGCGCAUGCUGUUCCGCGCACGAUGACGUGUUGGAUUGCGCGUGUUUGUUUUGCGCGUGUCUCCACACGUUGUCUUCGCGUGUCACGCGUGCGGAUCGUGCGCAUCGCCGCGCGCUAAGUCAUGUAUGUCGCGCAGCGUCUGCGAGUGAUAAUAAAUUGUUUUCGCUUAUAAACACUUAUGUUAAUAAUGUUAAUUCGUCAGGUCGCAUAUUUUAGAUAGUUAACUUAACGUUUGCUCGACUGAUAUUUGCUAGAUUAAUAUUCUAAUUAGAUUAAAUGUGUAGUGUUCAACUUGCGCUUUGAUAAUAAAAAUUAACAUGGUUAAUAUUAACUUAAAUACUUUUUAUUUAUUUAAUACUUGUUUAGUUUAAGCACGACAUCUAAUUAGUUUUUCUCCGCCUAUCGCGUGGCCUGUUCCGCAUGCGGUGGCAUGCUGUUUCGCGUGUCAUUCGUGUGCUGCUUGUACGUUGUCGUUCAUUUGCGCGUUCGCGUCACGCAUAUGGUUCGCGUGUUGUCGCGUGAUGUUCGCGUGCGUCGUCACGCGUCAGUCGCGCAUGGUCAUGUGUUGUCGUGCGCGUUGUCCGUGUGCCCCUUCGCGUUUGUCGCAGGGUUGUUUCGCGUGUCGUCGCUCAUGCUAAUUCGCACUGUUCGCUCGCGUCGCCGCUCACAUAAAUCGCUAUUCAGGCGCUUUGAUAAAAUCGCUUCGCAGCAUCGUUCAUGUUAAAUAAUUAAUUUCUUGUUUAGCGCCGGUUAUUUAAAAUAACAGUUCGAUCGAACCUGUUAAGUGAUUAUGCCGAUUUAGACAUUAUAUUCAAUAUUCGAUUAAUAUAAAACGAUAUAAUUUAGUGGUAUCCGUAUGUCGUGUCGUUUAUAAAUUUAUUACAUGUUUAAACAUAGUGAGUCUUAUGCGUCGUGUUCAUAAAUAUAAUCCGAUCAGUUUAAAAAUGUGGUUUCCGAUCAAAUUACAAUCUCGAUUAAUGCCACGUUAAAUUUUUCUUUAGAGUAUCUUUCGCAAAUGAUUUAUCGACCUAGAACAUAGGUUACACGUUUAUUGUGCAAACCUUCCGAAAACCAUACCGUCUCAACCAUAGUUUCGAUUUCAGCGCUUAUUUCCUCGUGUGACCGUAGAAGCGCUCUCUAUUUUUAUAUUGCUCGUUUUGAUAAUAUUUUAUCUUGUAUGGUGUAAUGUCCUUAUGCAAGUAUAUGUUUGCUUGUGCCUGUUUGUAUUCAUUGCGCGUCGCGAAUAGAUUGUGAUCUGUUCCUGAGCUUCAAGGAAGCGACGAUCAAGAUUUGGUGAACCACUGGUCCCGAGAUCAAGCUCUUCGAGUUCUACAAAGUUGGAGACCCUGAGCAUCUGUUUGGUGAAGGCAAGUGUCCUUUGACCUAUUAUGUCCUAUUUAAUUUAUAAAUCACUAUCCCGCAUUACUCAAUUGAAACCUAAGGAUUGACUAGCUUUGUAUUUACCUUGUCCUUGAUUACCUUUUGGGUUAUUAUGGUUAGCUUCAUGCUUUUGCUUUACUUUAAUCAAUGAACAUGAUGUGAUUACUUAUGAUACGAUGAUGUUAUCCCAAUGGUGGUCCUGUGACACUUUAG